rnacentral:misc_RNA from 1 species
UAAAUCAUCAUUGCAAGCUUCAGACAUUAGAUUCUUUAGAACAAAUAUUCAAAACUCAAAACUAUAAAAAGAAAAGAAGCAAAAGUGGAUAUGGAGAUAACCCCUUUACCAUCUAUCCCAAUCCCACAUUUAUUUAGUGUUGUGAGUAAACCUCAGAAUGAUAAAGCAAUUCUAAUUAUUGGACUCCAAAAUUUGUUUAAUGUUGACAUGCUUUAAUAAUACAGAGAAAUAAAAAGUAAUUUCAUUUCAUUUCUUACGACAAAACUAAUAGGUGCGAAUAUAUAUCGCCCUUUGGCAACAGAACAUGGAAGCCCACCAAACUGAAAAAUAGUAAAAUGAAAAA